GAGUUUGAUCCUGGCUCAGGACGAACGCUGGCGGCGCGCCUAACACAUGCAAGUCGAACGAGCGAGAGAGAGCUUGCUUUCUCGAGCGAGUGGCGAACGGGUGAGUAACGCGUGAGGAACUUGCCUCAAAGAGGGGGACAACAGUUGGAAACGACUGCUAAUACCGCAUAAGCCCACGGCUCGGCAUCGAGCAGAGGGAAAAGGAGCAAUCCGCUUUGAGAUGGCCUCGCGUCCGAUUAGCUAGUUGGUGAGGUAAUGGCCCACCAAGGCGACGAUCGGUAGCCGGACUGAGAGGUUGAACGGCCACAUUGGGACUGAGACACGGCCCAGACUCCUACGGGAGGCAGCAGUGGGGGAUAUUGCACAAUGGAGGAAACUCUGAUGCAGCGACGCCGCGUGAAGGAUGAAGUAUUUCGGUAUGUAAACUUCUAUCAGCAGGGAAGAAAAUGACGGUACCUGACUAAGAAGCCCCGGCUAACUACGUGCCAGCAGCCGCGGUAAUAC
rnacentral:rRNA from 1 species